rnacentral:rRNA from 1 species
UACAGAGGGGGCAAGCGUUAUUCGGAAUUAUUGGGCGUAAAGGGCGCGUAGGCGGCCUUGCAAGUGGAAGGUGAAAUCCCUCGGCUUAACCGAGGAACUGCCUUCCAGACUGCUAGGCUUGAGACCGGGAGAGGUGAGUGGAAUUCCCAGUGUAGCGGUGAAAUGCGUAGAUAUUGGGAGGAACACCAGUGGCGAAGGCGGCUCACUGGACCGGUACUGACGCUGAUGCGCGAAAGCGUGGGAGCAAACGGG